AACGAACGUUGGCGGCGUGGAUGAGGCAUGCAAGUCGAACGCGAAAGCCGCAAGGCGAGUAAAGUGGCGGACGGGCGAGUAACACGUAAUCAAGCUACCUGCGAGACGGGGAUAACUUCGGGAAACCGAAGCUAAGACCCGAUGGUCUUCUAGGAACGCAUGUUCCAUGAAGUAAAUGGGCGGGAUCCUCCGGGAUCGCCUGCUCGCAGAGGUGAUUGCGGCCCAUCAGCUAGUUGGUAGGGUAAUGGCCUACCAAGGCAACGACGGGUAGCCGGCCUUAGAGGGUGGUCGGCCGCACUGGGACUGAGACACUGCCCAGACUCCUACGGGAGGCUGCAGUCGAGAAUCUUCCGCAAUGGGCGAAAGCCUGACGGAGCGACGCCGCGUGGAGGAUGAAGGCCU
rnacentral:rRNA from 1 species